rnacentral:rRNA from 1 species
UUGAACGCUGGCGGCAUGCCUUACACAUGCAAGUCGCACGGCAGCACGGGUGCUUGCACCUGGUGGCGCGUGGCGAACGGGUGAGUAAUACAUCGGAACAUGUCCUGUAGUGGGGGAUAGCCCGGCGAAAGCCGGAUUAAUACCGCAUACGAUCUACGGAUGAAAGCGGGGGACCUUCGGGCCUCGCGCUAUAGGGUUGGCCGAUAGCUGAUUAGCUAGUUGGUGGGGUAAAGGCCUACCAAGGCGACGAUCAGUAGCUGGUCUGAGAGGACGACAGCCACACUGGGACUGAGACACGGCCCAGACUCCUACGGGAGGCAGCAGUGGGGAAUUUUGGACAAUGGGCGAAAGCCUGAUCCAGCAAUGCCGCGUGUGUGAAGAAGGCCUUCGGGUUGUAAAGCACUUUUGUCCGGAAAGAAAUCCUUGGCUCUAAUACAGUCGGGGGAUGACGGUACCGGAAGAAUAAGCACCGGCUAACUACGUG